GAUGAAGAACGUAGCGAAAUGCGAUAAUUAAUGUGAAUUGCAGAAUUCAGUGAAUCAUCGAAUCUUUGAACGCACAUUGCGCCCCUUGGUAUUCCGAGGGGCAUGCCUGUUCGAGCGUCAUAUUAACCACUCCCGCUUGCGGGGUCUUGGGCUUCGCCUCCGGGCGGGCCUUAAAAUCAGUGGCGGUGCCGUCGGGCUCUACGCGUAGUAAAUUUUCUCGCGAUAGGGUCCCGGUGGAUGCUUGCCAACAACCCCCAACUUCUUAAGGUUGACCUCGGAUCAGGUAGGGAUACCCGCUGAACUUAAGCAUAUCAAUAAGCGGAGGA
rnacentral:misc_RNA from 1 species